GAUUAGAACCGGUACUCAUAUGGGAUCCUGACGCGUUCGAGGUCCUGUGGAGGCUGGAGUCAUCAACAAGCCAAGAUACUGUACAGUGCACUCGAGAAAGAGGAUGGCCCUGGAAUCUUCUCAGAACAUAAACCAGUAUUCAACGUUCUUGUGUCAUCAAGCCACCGGGCAGGAGCCAGGACUGAUCCAUUAUUCAGUCAGCAUCCACGGUACUUUCAGAGCAGAUGCUGCAGAGGGCACAGCUUCUCCAGAAAUAAGAAGGAGCCUUUCCCCUUGAUAGUGGAAUCAGCCACAACUAGGAACCAGCCCUUCUUGUGCCUCUGUGCCUGCAGUGAAAAUACAGUAGCUGUAUGGACAAAAAGAGAAGCCAUGAAUCCAAGCUGGCCUUUGCUUCUUGGGGUCCCUGCCUCCACUCGGAGAAAAUCCUGCCUUUUGUGGAGCUCUGAAGUCCUCAGUCGGAAAGGCCUCGUGCGGCAGGAACCCCAAUGUGAGCCAAGGCCGUCAGCAUGUGAGCAAGUAGAAAAUCAGACAACACUUCAUUGCUGUCUUGCUCACUGGGAACAUUCUAGUCAUGGUGUAAAGCGAUGAGCAGUCGCUUCCAGCAUGGAAUUUAUGUCUCAUGUCUUUCCGAGGGAGCAGGAGCAGUUUGAACUCCCGGAGUGAUGUGAAGUUCUCCAAGUUUAAAGCUAUUACAAAAAACCACCUAUUUGUUCUACUUGAUGUCACACAAGUAGAGGAGAGGAAGGGUGGUGGGUUCUAUAAGUUAUAAAAAUCACUAAUACACAAACAUGGGGGGAAAUGCUAGCAAACACACUGAACAGAAGCACUAGAUCUGUAAUAUCAGCCAGCAGGAUUAUGCCAAGACAAUGCACUAAUUUGUGCCCAAGGACCAGUAGGUGCAGAGCUGUGACUUGAGACUUCCACGGGUAGAUUAUGGAAGACACUUGAUUCUUACCAUUACUUUGGCUUGGAUUAAAACCCAUGAGCUUCUAACUUGUCUUAUAAAAUAUGACAAAAUAAUACUUUGCCAAUGGUUUAUCUUUCCGAAGGCUGUAACCCUGUUUGGACCCACUCACAAUAACCAAGUCCCUUGACUGGGCUCCGUGAACGCCAAGACUGAGAGGCCCUCAGCUGAGCUUCCCAGGAAGUUCAAAUCCCGUGUGUAGAUGCUAUUCCAGGUGCACUCCUGCGAGGCUGCCCAAGGAGCAUGCUGGUUCACCCAGGAGCCAGCAGGAAAAGAGGGGAGCAGGUUGUUUGCUUGGCAGAAAAUCAAUUCACCAGUUGAUCAAUCUGUCUGAAAGCUGAGCCAGAACGCUGGCUGGUGAGACUGAAGAAUGACAGAUCUCAUAAUAUAUGCCGUCUGUAGCAUUACAUGAAUCACGGAGUGACAGCAACAGGCUUGAGGAAUUUUCUUGUGUUUUGCUUGUCCACGUAUUUCAUUGAGCGAUCGAUCCUCAGCUAUUUCUCAAUAAACUUGCCAC